rnacentral:ncRNA from 1 species
UGUCAUAAGAUUUUCCAAAAAUCAAUCUCAAUGAAGAGGGUGUUGAAAUCAAGGAAACAUUUGAGGGCAUUCCAUAAAUGUUUCCCCUUCAAGAAAUAUUACAGACAACCUUCCAUCCAAAGUCAACAAAAUUGAAACCCAUUUUUGAGAGUUGUUGGUGCCUCAUCCUAUCACUGAUGACAACAUUAGGAAAUCCAGAGACGUUGUCCGGGCCCCCAGGAGGAAUUAUCUUUUCUUUUUAACAUCUUGUCCACCUUGAAAUUGGCUCAACAAGAGAUAGGGUCCAACAGAUGGAAGAGCAUCACACAUAUUGCGGUGUCCGGUGUGCCCUCGACGACCCUUGAAAAUCUGGAGGACCAAGUACCGUCCAUUCCCGAUCGUACUCAUAACCGCAUCAGGUCUCCAAGGUGAACAUCCUUU